AGGUAUCGUAUUCUGAACCCAGCGGCCAUUCCCGAGGGGCAGUUCAUUGACAGCAGGAAGGGGGCAGAAAAGCUACUAGGCUCCUUGGAUAUUGACCACAACCAGUACAAGUUUGGCCACACCAAGGUGUUCUUCAAGGCAGGGCUUCUGGGGCUGUUGGAGGAGAUGCGAGAUGAGCGGCUAAGUCGCAUCAUCACGCGCAUCCAGGCACAGUCCAGGGGCCAGCUCAUGCGCAUCGAGUUCAAGAAGAUUGUGGAACGCAGGGAUGCCCUGCUGAUAAUCCAGUGGAACAUUCGGGCCUUCAUGGGUGUCAAGAAUUGGCCAUGGAUGAAGCUCUACUUCAAGAUCAAGCCACUGCUGAAG